GAUACAUGCUGCCAUAUGGGGAAUACACUUCAUUCCACGAUCAAACACCACAGACACCACCCAUUCCCUAUAUAUAACAGUAGUCUGGUCGUUCAAAAUGGACUAUGUUUAUAAUCCUUUUAAAAGCAGGAGCUCUUGCCUUCUGUAAAAUAGCCUAUGUUAUGGAUGGUUAAAAAUAGGUGAAAGACCAGUAACGCCUAGAUUCAGAACCAGCGAAUUCGGACAGCUCCACUGAGAUCUCCCUGCUUUUGUCCGGAGAAGGUGUUGACUGCAACGGUGUCUCCAUGUCCAAAUGCGCGACUACGCAGAUCUGUUAAGUAACGGUUGGAAUCGACAGUUUUUUAAAUCGGUAGUUGCUGGUCAAAUGGUGUAGUAAAUGUCGGACUUUUUCUCCGAUAGCCGCGAGAGAAAAUCAGUCUCCAACCACUGCGACAAAACGCAUUCCGGUCUGCAGCGGCUCCGGUACUGACAGCUUUGAUGGACUACACUAAAAAUCUGCAUUGCACGCUGCAGUGCUCCUUUCUGGCGGGAUUUGAAUAUCACAUCCCGGUCGUAUAGAGAUGAUAUGAAAUUGCUGGAAGCUUUUUAUUGUUGUUCACUCGUAUUGCUAUUGAUGAGCUCAGCUCAAAGGAUCGAGUCCUUUAGGCGCGCGACGGAUGUUUCUUAUUACCGUUGCUCUGUUCUACUGCUUGCUCUUGCAAAUAUGUUUAGCAUGUUAGUAGCGUACUUCACCUGGUUUUGUUCAUGCUACAUAUUUCUCACAUUUACACAGGUAGUCUAACCUGUAAAUAAGUUAAAGGUUGAAUAACAGUGUGUAAUGUUAAACACGUUUAACAUUUAUAUGCAGUGUAGUCACGUGUGGUUUGCUUUGGGUGCUCCCCAUUGCCUCCUAAUCUGUUAAUAAAUGGUCUGAAUAAAUUUA